AUCGCUUCUCGGCCUAAUGGCUAAGAUCAAGGUGAAGUCUCUGUUCUUAUCAGUGUAAUAGCUGAUAUGUCCUUUAUUUGAGGACUGAAUAUUAACUGGAUUUUUAGAGUUGGGAUGUGAAGUGGGAGCUUGCUUCAUUCACUCCAAGCAUCAACCUGGUAUUGCAAUAUCUCCAGGAAUGGCGCCCUUCCC